ACGCCCGCUCAGAAACGUUAAAGGAAUUGACGGGGGCCCGCACAAGCGGUGGAGCACGUGGUUUAAUUCGAUGCAAACCGAAGAACCUUACCAGGCCUUGACAUGCAGAGAACUUUCCAGAGAUGGAUUGGUGCCGUUCGGGAACUCUGACACAGGUGCUGCAGUGGCUGUCGUCAGCUCGUGUCGUGAGAUGGUUGGGUUAACGUCCCGUAACGAGCGCAACCCUUGUCCUUAGUUACCAGCACGUUAUGGUGGGCACUCUAAGGAGACUGCCGGUGACAAACCGGAGGAAGGUGGGGAUGACGUCAAGUCAUCAUGGCCCUUACGGCCUGGGCUACACACGUGCUACAAUGGUCGGUACAAAGGGUUGCCAAGCCGCGAGGUGGAGCUAAUCCCAUAAAACCGAUCGUAGUCCGGAUCGCAGUCUGCAACUCGACUGCGUGAAGUCGGAAUCGCUAGUAAUCGUGAAUCAGAAUGUCACGGUGAAUACGUUCCCGGGCCUU
rnacentral:rRNA from 1 species